GCCUGAUUCCUGUCUUGGUUGUCGAUAUUUUUUGUCAAUCUACUCAGUUUGAUUCCAACAAUUCAUACAUGAAAAUGACUCUGACAUUGAACAUAACUGGUCAACCUUCUAGAACACCCGGAUAUAUACCAUUUCUCGGGGUCCAUGUUGUUUCUGUGUUGAUGUGUGUCAUUUCCCCCUUAAUGUCCUCCUAAUUGACUAACGCAAUAGCCAAGUUCUAGAUCGACGGCGUUUGUAAGAAGCAUGGUUUAAAAAACAUUUGAUCGAAUGGAAACUAGACCUUGGAGAGCAACAUGUCACUUAUUUGAACAAUCACCAGGUUCAAGAUAAUUGGUUGGUCAACUAAAAUUGUAUUUGAAGAACCGAUAUUUGAAAUACCAGGCUUCUCAUGUAAAGAUUUCAACGGUACGUUCUUAAAUACUUUUUUUAUUAUUCUUAGAAUAAACAAAAUGACUUAAUGUUAAAAUAUAUAUUACUGUUCAACUGGCGAAAUGAUGUAUAAUAUUGGUAUAUAUUGUUAGAUAAUUGUAUAUUAAACAGUAUGUAAAAUUAAAUACAAAAACGUAUUCCUAGUUUAAUCCAGAGGACGGAGUAAUUCCCCUUUUUUCUGUUACCUUGGGAUGACAUAUAUAUAUAAUGAAGAAUAUUUUAAUUCAUUUAUAAUCCCUUAAAAAAAUAUGUAUAGAAACCCACUGCUAUGUAUUCUGCACAUAACCAUCAAAGAGUCGAUGUGAUUAAACGUAUCUGUUGACUUUGCAAAAAUUCAAAAUGAUGUUAAUAUAUUCUUUUAUGUUUCAGGAUU
rnacentral:lncRNA from 1 species